UAGAUAUUUUUGAUUGGCACUAUCUAUUGAAGUAUUUUAGGACUGCAAAAUUCCAGCAAAGAGCAUACAAAAUUAUGGGAUUCGAGCCCAACAAAGGACCAGACAUUUGUCAGGCUCUAAGCCUUAUGCUCAGCGCAGCUAUGAGAAGAGACCCAGAAAGUGGUGAUGAGCCCAAUGAUAUGGAACUUUGGUUUAUAACUCACACAAAGGAUGGGCACUGGAAAGACCAAGAAUCUAGGGAUGUCUACGACAAAGCAAGCAGCCUUAUUACUGAGGCAGAAUCAAAUGCAGAGGAAAACUU